rnacentral:rRNA from 1 species
CAUAGCAAGUUGGUACCACUCCUUCCCAUCCCGAACAGGACAGUGAAACGACUUUGCGCCGAUGAUAGUGCGGGUUCCCGUGUGAAAGUAGGUC